GAUGAACGCUGGCGGCGUGCUUAACACAUGCAAGUCGAACGGAAAGGCCCAAGCUUGCUUGGGUACUCGAGUGGCGAACGGGUGAGUAACACGUGGGUGAUCUGCCCUGCACUUCGGGAUAAGCCUGGGAAACUGGGUCUAAUACCGGAUAGGACCACAUUUUGGAUGGUGUGGUGGAAAGUUUUUCGGUGUGGGAUGAGCUCGCGGCCUAUCAGCUUGUUGGUGGGGUAAUGGCCUACCAAGGCGUCGACGGGUAGCCGGCCUGAGAGGGUGUACGGCCACAUUGGGACUGAGAUACGGCCCAGACUCCUACGGGAGGCAGCAGUGGGGAAUAUUGCACAAUGGGCGCAAGCCUGAUGCAGCGACGCCGCGUGGGGGAGGACGGCCUUCGGGUUGUAAACUCCUUUCGCUAGGGACGAAGCGUUAUGUGACGGUACCUGGAGAAGAAGCACCGGCUAACUACGUG
rnacentral:rRNA from 1 species